GAUGAACGCUAGCGGCAGGCUUAACACAUGCAAGUCGAGGGGUAGAAGCAGCUUGCUGCUUUGAGACCGGCGCACGGGUGCGUAACGCGUAUGCAAUCUACCUUUUACAGAGGGAUAGCCCAGAGAAAUUUGGAUUAAUACCUCAUAGUAUGUGAGAAUCGCAUGGUUUUCACAUUAAAGUUCCAACGGUAAAGAUGAGCAUGCGUCCCAUUAGCUAGAUGGUAAGGUAACGGCUUACCAUGGCGACGAUGGGUAGGGGUCCUGAGAGGGAGAUCCCCCACACUGGUACUGAGACACGGACCAGACUCCUACGGGAGGCAGCAGUGAGGAAUAUUGGACAAUGGGCGCAAGCCUGAUCCAGCCAUGCCGCGUGCAGGAUGACGGUCCUAUGGAUUGUAAACUGCUUUUGUACAGGAAGAAACACUCCCUCGUGAGGGAGCUUGACGGUACUGUAAGAAUAAGGAUCGGCUAACUCCGUG
rnacentral:rRNA from 1 species